rnacentral:rRNA from 1 species
GAUGAACGCUGGCGGCGUGCCUAAUACAUGCAAGCCGAGCGAACGGACGAGAAGCUUGCUUCUCUGAUGUUAGCGGCGGACGGGUGAGUAACACGUGGAUAACCUACCUAUAAGACUGGGAUAACUUCGGGAAACCGGAGCUAAUACCGGAUAAUAUUUUGAACCGCAUGGUUCAAAAGUGAAAGACGGUCUUGCUGUCACUUAUAGAUGGAUCCGCGCUGCAUUAGCUAGUUGGUAAGGUAACGGCUUACCAAGGCAACGAUGCAUAGCCGACCUGAGAGGGUGAUCGGCCACACUGGAACUGAGACACGGUCCAGACUCCUACGGGAGGCAGCAGUAGGGAAUCUUCCGCAAUGGGCGAAAGCCUGACGGAGCAACGCCGCGUGAGUGAUGAAGGUCUUCGGAUCGUAAAACUCUGUUAUUAGGGAAGAACAUAUGUGUAAGUAACCGUGCACAUCUUGACGGUACCUAAUCAGAAAGCCACGGCUAACUACGUG